rnacentral:piRNA from 1 species
UGCUUCCGUACCUGGAUUGGGUCCAGGGC